GACGAACGCUGGCGGCGUGCUUAACACAUGCAAGUCGAACGGUAAGGCCCUGCUUUUGUGGGGUGCUCGAGUGGCGAACGGGUGAGUAACACGUGAGUAACCUGCCCUUGACUUUGGGAUAACUUCAGGAAACUGGGGCUAAUACCGGAUAGGAGCUCCUGCUUCAUGGUGUGGGUUGGAAAGUUUCGGCGGUUGGGGAUGGACUCGCGGCUUAUCAGCUUGUUGGUGGGGUAGUGGCUUACCAAGGCUUUGACGGGUAGCCGGCCUGAGAGGGUGACCGGCCACAGUGGGACUGAGAUACGGCCCAGACUCAUACGGGAGGCAGCAGUGGGGAAUAUUGCACAAUGGGCGGAAGCCUGAUGCAGCAACGCCGCGUGCGGGAUGACGGCCGUCGGGUUGUAAACCGCUUUCGCCUGUGACGAAGCGUGAGUGACGGUAAUGGGUAAAGAAGCACCGGCUAACUACGUG
rnacentral:rRNA from 1 species